GACGAACGCUGGCGGCGUGCUUAACACAUGCAAGUCGAACGGUAAGGCCCUUCGGGGUACACGAGUGGCGAACGGGUGAGUAACACGUGGGUGAUCUGCCCUGCACUUCGGGAUAAGCCUGGGAAACUGGGUCUAAUACCGGAUAGGACUCCUGGCUUCAUGGUUGGGGGUGGAAAGCUUUUGCGGUGUGGGAUGGGCCCGCGGCCUGUCAGCUUGUUGGGGGGGUAAUGGCCGACCAGGGGCGCGCCGGGUAGGCGGCCGGAGAGGGUGACCGGUAACACUGGGACUGAGAUACGGCCCAGACUCCUACGGGAGGCAGCAGUGGGGAAUAUUGCACAAUGGGCGCAAGCCUGAUGCAGCGACGCCGCGUGAGGGAUGACGGCCUUCGGGUUGUAAACCUCUUUCAGCUAUGACGAAGCGCAAGUGACGGUAGUAGCAGAGGAAGGACCGGCCAACUACGUGCCAGCCGCCGCGGUAA
rnacentral:rRNA from 1 species